rnacentral:tRNA from 1 species
GCGGGAGUAGCUCAGUUGGUAGAGCGCUAGCCUUCCAAGCUGGAUGCCGCGGGUUCGAGUCCCGUCUCCCGCUCCA